CCAGACGGUCGGGCGGUCGCGGCGGGGUUUCGGCCUCGUCGAGGAAAGUCCGGGCUCCACGGUGAAACGGCGGCGGGUAACUCCCGCCCGGGGCGACCCGAGGGACAGCGCCACAGAAAGCAAACCGCUCCGACCCCGGUCGGAGCAAGGGUGAAAGGGUGGGGUAAGAGCCCACCGCGUCCCCGGCAACGUGGACGGCAUGGCAAGCCCCGCCGGGAGCAAGACCGAAUAGGGACGUCGCGCGGGUUCGCCCGCAGGGUUCACCGCCCGAGACGUCCGGGUUGGUCGCGAGAACCGCUCCGCGAGGGGCGGUCCAGAGGAAUGACCGUCACCCGCUUGCGGGGACAGAACCCGGCUUACAGACCGUCUGGCGCU
rnacentral:RNase_P_RNA from 1 species